rnacentral:ncRNA from 1 species
AAGGAAAAAGCCGAAAAUCCUGCAAAGAGUAGGCA